AUUGAACGCUGGCGGCAGGCCUAACACAUGCAAGUCGAGCGGAUGAAGGGAGCUUGCUUCUGGAUUCAGCGGCGGACGGGUGAGUAAUGCCUAGGAAUCUGCCUGGUAGUGGGGGAUAAUGUCCGGAAACGGGCGCUAAUACCGCAUACGUCCUGCGGGAGCAAGUGGGGGAUCUUCGGACCUCACGCUAUCAGAUGAGCCUAGGUCGGAUUAGCUAGUUGGUGGGGUAAAGGCCUACCAAGGCGACGAUCCGUAACUGGUCUGAGAGGAUGAUCAGUCACACUGGAACUGAGACACGGUCCAGACUCCUACGGGAGACAGCAGUGGGGAAUAUUGGACAAUGGGCGAAAGCCUGAUCCAGCCAUGCCGCGUGUGUGAAGAAGGUCUUCGGAGUGUAAAGCACUUUAAGUUGGGAGAAAGGGCAGUAAGUUAAUACCUUGCUGUUUUGACGUUACCAACAGAAUAAGCACCGGCUAACUUCGUG
rnacentral:rRNA from 1 species